rnacentral:tRNA from 2 species
CGGGAUAUAGCGCAGCUUGGUAGCGCGCCUGCUUUGGGAGCAGGAUGUCGCAGGUUCAAGUCCUGCUAUCCCGA